AAGGAAGCGUUUGGAGGCUCUGGACCUGGGGCUAAAGGGUUAAUACCCCACAGGAGGGCCCUGGGGAAUCCACUGUAAAUAGGUGUGGUUUUCUGUGCAGUUCCAAGAGGCAUUUUCUCUCUGUACCAGUCUGGACAGGUGAGAAAUCGGAAGAAGUUGGAGCCUGUGCUUCCCACCAGCACAAAGCAGGGUUGUUAGCACAGGCCUGACUGUUUGUUUGCACACUCCAGCCUGGCUGCUUAACUCCCGUAGUACCCAAUGCCAGGAAUCGCUGGCAGUCAGCACGGUGGUCCCCCGGGUACAAGCACCUGCCUGUUAAUGGAAAGCCACAGAUUAAUGGUGCAGCACAAGGAGCCUCAGUCAGUUACUCACUGCAGAAAGGAUAAAAUUGGUGAUAAACAAACGAGCUCAAUACAGCAAGGAUCGGAGAGGCAGCCCUCUUCCUUUCUCCUCCUGAUGACCCUACCUCACAGUCCUCUGCCCCUCUGCCCCUGAUUCCAGUACUGCACUUGAAAACAAUCUCCCCGUCUUCAAUUGACUUUUAAACCUAGCUGCCCCCCAGGAAGGCAGGACUGAAAGAUGGCUGAACUCAGUCACAAGCUCUAAUGCCAUCACUUAUAUAAUCCCUAUCAUAAACAAACCAAGCUCAGUCUUGAAACCAAUUUGGAUUUUGCUCUCACUGUUCCCACUAGAAAGCUGCUCAAAGAGCAUACUGCUAAGAAAGGAAGAAACAUUUUGUUAAUCUCCAGCCUAAAUUUACCCAUUCCUGUUUGCUCUGGCAAUGAAAAACAGCACCCAGGCAGCAAAGCGCUGGAUAAGACAUAAACCUUAGAAUAGAAUUCAAACAAAUCAAACUGAAUCACAAAGAAUAAAGACAAAGAAUGAAAGGUGAACUGUUUGCAAAGCGAUUGAUCUUAGAUUUGGAGAUAUUCACUCUCUGGAUCAUUUCAGAUCCUGUGGGCUUCUCAGCCCUCUAGAGCACCCACAUCUCUCUGGCUCCACAAGUGCUUAGUAGAGUCAUGAUCCCAUUGUAGCGCAGUACCAACCUCUCUUCUGAAAACUGCUUCCAGAAAAAGACACUUGCAUGAAGAUACAUCCUUCAUCCGGUGCCCUCACACAGCCACAGCCAAACUGCAGCCAGACCUCUGGAGAGCUGCAGGUAAGGAAGGUGAAUGCAGAGCUGAGCUGCAGAGAGCACAAGAGUGUCCAAAGUGACAGAACAGCCAAAUGAGCCUGCAGGGGGCUGAGAGCAUAAGAAACAAAACUACAAAGCCCCAGGAAGCUGAAAACAUGGGUGUCAAAUCCUCCUUCUGCCUAUCACUUGUGGUCACCAUUGAAGUCAGCAAGAAAAGUUGUUUAUAUUAGGCUUUUAGUCAAGUUCCAUUGAGAAGCCAAAUGAUGAUGCUAAACCCAAAGGCACGCCAUAUCCAGCAGAAAUAUGGCUCCCCAGCUUACGUUGGUAGAUAGAACUGGGACACGAACACAACACUGAAUCAUAGGUUCCUGUCAUCUAACGGUGGAGGAUAAUGGGAAAGAAGACAGAGAUGGGAGAAACCAGCUGCUCCUCUCGCUGGAUUGCGCUGCGAAUCUGUAGGCUCUGUUUGGGAUAAAACAGCACUUAUUUCCAAGGCAACAAAUGGCAGUGUCACAAACAACCGAGGUCCAGGAGCUGCCUGCAGGUUGGAAGCUGAAAGAAAGAACAAUUUCCCCAGAAGCACAGGCAAAGACAAGGCAGGACCCCAUGCUCCAGGUCAGGGCAACUUUUUGCCACUGUCUCUAUCUAUUCAAGACCUUUUCCCCGCUCCUCCCAUUUACAAGGCAUCUACAAGGGCAAAAAAUGUGUUCUGUUGUGCCUGAAUGAGGUAAAGGCUCACACUCAAAGGGAGGAUCAUAAAGCUGGCCCUGAGGGCCUGUCAGGGAGAAAACAGAGCUGGAAAGCUAAGACUAAGGCUCAGAGAGGCGCUAGGCAAGGCAGAAAAAGUCACAUCAGCACAACCUACUGUACAAUCAUCCAUCGUGGCCAUGCUUCUGGAGCUCUUACAGAAGAUGAAGCACAGCUGGACCUGGAGGAUACCAAGCUGGAUCAAAGCUGGAGGCAUAAAAUUGCAGCAGAAAGAGAAUCCUUCUUCAGGGGAGGAAUGAAGCUGAGCAGGAGGAACAGGAAUGAGCGAUAGGCACAAAAGACACUAAUUUAGGUAAGCCACUGAGUGUUACAGAGGGAAUGUCUUGCAGAGGAGCACAAUCAGUUCGGGAGAAAGAUAGAUAAAGAAUAGAGUGGGGCUAUUUGCUGGGAGCCAAGUGGUCCAGUAAAACAUGCAUGAGUUCAAUGCGUGGGACUAAGAUGUGGGGUGCAAUAAAGAGAGGGGGAAGUGAGUGGGUAAAGGCAGGGAAGACAAAAUAGGAAGUAGGAGUGGGACUCCAUUAGUAGAUAGUAGAAGCUGCAGUCACGAGAAAUAAUAGCUGUAUGGAUUUGGAGAGCUUAGGUGUCUGUUUAAAAGUGCAGACAUGAUAUCCAAAACAAUUGACGAAACUGGUCCGUAUAGCUCCAUCUGCAGAACAGGAAUGCCCUAAGUACCAGGGGAGCUGAGCAUGGGUGUGCAUCACUCACAGGGCGGCACAGCUGGAGUGCUGUGCCCAUGGUGGGGCUGAGUUCUGUUCCUACACAGCAGCAGGCCUCGGAACACAGAGCCAAGGCACUCUGUGCAGACAGCACUGAGAGAAGGAACAGUGGGGUGAGGGGGAGAGUGUUCAGAACCUGUUAGAGGGAAGAAGGACACACUUAUGGAUGGGCAUGGGAGAUCCUAGAAGCGACAGAAUGUGAGGGAGUAGGGUGAGGUGCAAAGGCUCCAGAGUUGACUUGUCAAGAUUGUAUCAACAAGAAACUGGGAGAUAAGAGAGGGAAGUGCAGGACUUGCUGUGUUAAAAGGAAGACAGCUAGCCGGGGAGAAGGUGGGACCAUGCUAAAGGAUUCUCUGAAAGUCAUUAGCAGCAGAGCCUCAGAGUGAGAACAGUUAAUAAGUUACAGGAGAGACCUCAAGGCAGAAUCAGGAUAGGGCAAACAAAGAUCCCACUGUGUGAGGUUUCAGUGGGGUAACCUACAACUCCCUGAUGAGUCUGACAGUGGAACAAGGAGCAGACGAGAGGAGCAGAGUGGCAUCCCUCGAGACCCUCCAGCAAUCAGCAUGCUCUGUGGUUAGUGGGCUGCCAGGAAGGCCUGUGAGCCAGAGCUGUUGUACAAGCUGGACUGGACAUUCCAGGAACUGGAGAAAACCACAAGACGCCUUUGUGACGUGGACAAAGUGUGCGUGGAAUGGACUAGUACAUGCAAAUGUCUCAGCUUGUUCCAGCUGAUUGGCACCAACUGAUUCUCCUGAAGUCUGAGGCAGAUGUGCUCCAUGUAAAACUAGACUCUUCACUGACACGAAAACAUGAGAAAUCACAGAAUCAUGGAAUCGUAGGGGUUGGAAGGGACCUCCAGAGAUCAUCGAGUCCAACCCCCCUGCCAAAGCAGGUUCCCUACACCAGGUUGCACAGGUUGGCGUCCAAGUGGGUCUUGAAUAUCUCCAGAAGAGACACCACAACCCCCUGGGCAGCAAUCACAAAACCAGUUUUUAGCCUGUGGUAGCAAAAGGACAAAUGGGCCCCUUAUGGGCUUUUCUGAAGAGAUGUGGUACCUCCAUUUUAGAGUGGGACAGGUUUCUGCCCUUCCUUCCACUGCUUAGUUCUGCACAAGCACCUUCCUCUGCACUCCAUAACUCCGUCGGGGCUUCCCACUGACAGGCGUUGUGAAGAAGGAAGUCUUCCUUUUGAGCUUCAUCAGCCCCAUGUCACUGCUGGCUGCAUUCGUACUCCAGCAAUCCCAAGGAAAUCCAGCCUGAGAGGUGGUUAGAUGCUGCACAGCCAGGUAACACAGCAGAGCCUCAGCACCACUGACAAGCCAACACGAAGCUUGCCCUCAGGAGCCAUGAAGGGAGCUGUGCAGAGUGGACAGUACAGGCACUGUGGCAUCGCAGCAGUGAGGGAGCUGAACCGGGAGUUGCGAGGUGAAGCUCUGCAGAGCUCUCCCUUGACCAGACAGGCUGCCUCACACCAGGGACCGACUCUCUCCAAGGUUUUUAAUUCCUGGGAACUGCCAAUGGCUCAUUUGGGGGAAUUCUUCAUACAGGCAUCAUUUUGGACCAGUGCAGAUCCCAGCCAGCUUAACAUAUUGCUUGCUGUUCCAAAAGUCUUAGGGUGACAACCUACUGUUGCUGCAGAUUGUGACGAUCUUAUCGUGCAUAAAAGAAGAAGUAUCAAAGAGCACAUGGCACCCAAGUCAGAGCUGUUCUCCCUAGGAAGAGCAAAAAGACACUGCGAAGCCCUGCAGCAGUGACCAAAGGACCAUGCACACUGUGACUCACAGCACAGAGAAUCAGCAAACCCAGAUUAGGUCAUGCAGAAAUUGAGCCUCUGUGGAAAGAACCUAUCUACACUAAAUUGCAGAUGUGUCCUCAGCUGCAGUUAACUUCUCCGCCGCCCAUGAUCACAGCACUCAGAGCAGGUCUCCUUUAGGCAGGGACAAGAGGAAAUGUGAGCUUCAAAUCAUUCCCAGCAACAGCCCCACGGGAGUCUCCAUCCCUUCUUUGGACAUUUCAGCACCAGGCCUCCAAGCCGGGCCAGGAUCAAGCAGUGGAUCUGGGUGGGCUAGAGGGUGAUUUUUACCCAGCAUGAUUAGGAAAGAUAAGCAUCUCUGAAAUUGAUGCAGCCUUGAUUGGGCUCAUUGUGGACAAUCAUAGAAUUAUAAAGGUUGGAAAAAAGCUUUGAGAUCAUUUAGUC